UCCCAUAUGUUCUAGUGGUUAGGAUUUGGCGCUUUCACCGCCAUGGCCCGAGUUCAAUUCUCGGUGUGGGAA
rnacentral:tRNA from 1 species